AGCAGACUGAUGCAGCCAUGCCGCGUGUGUGAAGAAGGCCUUCGGGUUGUAAAGCACUUUCAGCGGGGAGGAAGGCGGUGAGGUUAAUAACCUCAUCGAUUGACGUUACCCGCAGAAGAAGCACCGGCUAACUCCGUGCCAGCAGCCGCGGUAAUACGGAGGGUGCAAGCGUUAAUCGGAAUUACUGGGCGUAAAGCGCACGCAGGCGGUCUGUCAAGUCGGAUGUGAAAUCCCCGGGGCUCAACCCUGGGAACUGCAUUCGAAGACUGGGAAGGCUAAGAGUCUUUGUACAGGGGGGGUAGAAAUCCCAGGGUGUAGCGGUUGAAUUGCGAAAAGAUCUGGAAGGAAUACCGGUGGCCAAAGGCGGCCGCCUGGAACAAGAACUGAACCUUAAAGUUCCAAAACCUGGGGAACAAACGGGAUAUAAAUACCCGGGUAAUCCCCCCCUUUAACCCAAGUGCAUUUGGAGUUUGUGCCCUUUAGGCGGGGUUUCCGGAACAAACCUGUAAAUCCCCCCCUGGGAA
rnacentral:rRNA from 1 species